rnacentral:tRNA from 1 species
GGCCCCGUAGUGUAGCGGCCUAGCACGCUGCCCUCUCAAGGCGGUAACGCCGGUUCGAACCCGGUCGGGGCUA